GCUAAGUCACUUUAAUUCUUGUCCAACUCUGUGACUCUAUGGACUGUAGCCUGCCAGGCUCUUCUGUCCUCCGGAUUCUCCAGGCAAGAAUACUGGAGUGGGUUGCCAUGCCCUCCUCCAGGGGAUCUUCCUGACUCAGGGGUAGAGCCCAGGCUCCUGCAGCUUCUGCACUGCAGGCGGAUUCUUCACUGCUGAGCCACCAGAGAAGCCCCACUGUGUGAGAAUAGCUCUCAGCCAGCAAAGGAACUCGUGUGUCAUCAGAGGCGAACCUCAGCAUGGCUCUGCCCCGGAUGUGCUGAGCAACACUGACCACACUGCCAGCCCUCUCUGGUCAGCAGAGACUUCCGCAGGGAUAAGCCCUGUGAUGUCCCUGGAACCUCUCUCCAGCCUGAUACACUGGGGUCCUCCCAAUGCACUGGGGUCCUCCCACCUGUCGCUACUCACAGGGUGGUCCAGGGACCUUAGCCUCACUAGGACCUUGUGAGAUAUGCAGUUUCUCAGCACCCCUCCCCGGUCUCCUGAACAGGCACGAUCACGGUGGUCUGGGAACACGUACAGUCGAAGGCCACUGCUCUAACCCUUCCUUUGGCGCAGGAAGACCCCAGUGACUGUUGUUUCACCCAAGGGGUCCAGCCUCCUGAUUCUGGCCUGGAAAAGUCAUAAUUUGGGGACCGACAACCUGGCUUCUCGCCUACCAUCUGACUGGGAUCCAGUCUCUUCACGUCAGCAUCUUGCCACUUUCACUCUCUGGGGUCAUCUGGGAACCUCAGCGAAUGGAAGGAACCUCCACAUCACUAACUGAGUUCCUACUGUGUGCCUGACACCCUGCCAAUCACAUCACAGCAUCAGGAGUGGAAAUCACAAUGGAGACAAAAUAAACAAAUCGCAGGGGACAGAGAGUGUCCUGGUGCAGACGCUUUCUAGAGAUGAUGCUUUCAGUGCGCGCUUCCCAGCAGCUCUGUGAAGCCCUUGCCUCGUGGAGGAUGGAUGAAGCCUGCCUUCCACUUCAUGCUUUGCCCAGCAUUGACUCUCAGGCUUGGUUUUGACAGUCAGGACUCCUCCCACCGCCCUUUGCUGCAGCAUCCCAGCCAGCAUGCAGAUUCCCAGGGAUCUUUGUCGGUGGUGAUCUCUCUGCCAACGGUGCCUUCUCUUCCUUUCACCCUUCCCAUCCUAUCUCUGCCCCAUCCACACAUCUAUUUUAAAAAAUUUAGAUGUGUUGCAUCUGCCAGGGUUCUUUGGAGGUAAGCAACAGAAAAGGACUCUGGCAAAUCUUUUUGUAACAGAAAAAUAUUCAUUUCCAAGAUUUAGGACAGGUCCCAGAAGUUGCGAGACACUGAACUACUAGGCCUCAGAGAGACAGGAGCUGGGGAAACUGGACUUCUAGCUACCAGGAAGUAAGAAGUCAGAACAACUUGGUGCCAACUAGAGUGACCUCAAGUCACUCUAUCAUGCCUGAAAUUCUCAGGAAAGAACAUCUGAUUGGCCCAGCUUGAGUUCCUCGCCCAACUCAUGACUGAAUCAGGUCAGGUACCAGGACUGUGUGUCCACCAAGACUGCAUGAGGAAGGGAAAGCUGGAGCCCAGAGGAAAAUUUGGUGCAGACACCACCCUUGGUGCACACUUUAUCCCAGACACAGCCUGGAUGGAUGCUAGAGGCUACGGGAUGAACUCUGCAGUUCCUGCUGCAAGUUCCUGCUCCACUAAUAGCCCAGUGGAGGAGGCUGGUUAAAUAGAAAGUACUUGAAAC
ensembl:lncRNA